GGUGGCACUGGCAUGGGAGGGUGGGAGAGUUCAGGGCAAAAUGGAUGAAGGGCUAGGAUCAAACAUAUAUGAGACAGAUAAUUACAUACACUUUGUACUGAUACAACAAAUUCUACGCAAUUGGCACUUUCAUCCUUAAUUAAUGGCCACAAAAUACAUUUUUUCAUACCCUGGAUUUUGCAGUAUAAUGGCAGAAUAUUUUUUACCACAAUCAAUAUAUGAGAAACAAUCAUCUUAACUGGUGGGGGAGUGUAAGUAUUAUAAUUAUAACUUAAUUUUUUCUUUCAACAGAACUCAGUUCUUUCUAUUAAGCAUGAAAAUGCUUUUGUGGAGGUUCUAGAGAUCACCGAUGUGCGUGACUCUUUGGUGGAGUUUACUGCCACCUUAGAGCUGCCCGACCACCUGGCACAGCCAUCGUUCCUAGAAUCUCCACUUCCUGCUGGGUAUGAAGAGGACCCUGGCUCUUCCCACAACAUCGGAGGGGCCAUUCCUCUUCAUGAGCCUGAGGCUGAGCCAGCAGAGACUAUCCCCAGGGAUACAGCCAGCCCCACCAAUUUCAACUGGCUUUCAUUCGUAAGUACAUUGUAUGGGUGUGAAAUAUAUACAAACACACACAUGUAAUUGUUGGAUUCUUACUAUGCUUUACCUCUGUAGGAUGCCACGGUGGAGGUCCCUGGGGUAGUUAUUACUUCAGAGGCCCUGGUGAAGAUUUGCGUGAAAGCAAAUAAAUAUGAACCACCAUACGAGCCACCAGCGAUGCCAUUUUUAUUGGGUAAGUUGGAUACACUGACAUCUUGAAAUUUAUGAAUUUAAUUAAUUAAUUAAUUUAUGGUUAAUCAUAUUAUUCUUAGUGCAUUUAUGUGAAUUGUAUGGACAUUUAUGUUUCGUUACAAUAGGAUACUUAUAUAUUUAUAGAGGAGAGUAUUUAUACUUUUUAUAAAGUGUAGGUCUAAUAUUGUUAUAUUGUAAUAAACUGUAUCAUCAUGUUGAGACUAUAUUGUUCCAUUUCUGCUUUCAUUUCAGAAGCUCCUGAUUGUGAUGCUGGCACGUCCAAUAACAGCGGACACAUUGUUCCCAAUCAGGAGCAAGAGUCUGAGCCAAAGGAAGAUAAUUCCACCUCUUCCAGUCUUCCAUCAGAACUCAACAUCUCUGAAUUUGGCUCAGAUGUUGCCAAUAAAAUACAGGGCGCAGAAGGACCAUCUACCAGCCCUGUUGAGCCCGGAUCUCCCUCACUUGAUCAAUUCAACCUGGGUCAAGUGUUGGGAGAAGGAGGAUUCGGGAAGGUAUUCCUAGCCGAGCACAAGAACACCGAAGUGCUAUAUGCCAUCAAGGCCCUGAAAAAAGAACACGUUUUGGAAAAGGGCAAUUUGGACAGGUCAGUGAUAGGGGAGAGAUUAAUAUUGGUCAUAUCUGUGUCAUCUUUUCUUGUUAUAUUCAGCUUUAUAUGUAGGACAGUUUUCUCUUUUCAUAGUUAGUAUCUGUCUUACCUCUCAUUUCUUUAAUUAACUUACAUUUGGUUAUUAUCUGCUUUAUUGCCCUGUGUCUGUUCAUAAGGAUAAAGGGUCAGUGUAAUGUUCCCUUGUGUGGGCCUCACAUGGUGAUAAUGGGAUGAUUUUCCCCACAGUGUCUUCCAUGAGAAGGAAAUCCUUCAGAGGGUAAGUUCUUCUAACCACCCGUUCCUAGUGUCAUUACAUGGAACCUUCCAGACGGCGUCUCACCUGUUCUAUGUCAUGGAAUAUCUACCUGGAGGUGACAUGUUUGACUUCAUAAGAUCGGCGGAACUAGAAGAACCUGACGUCAUGUAAGUAGAAUUGGAAUCACCUUAAUUCUCACACAUAUCAGCUUAUAUCUAUAAAAAAAUAUUAAAGUAACUGAAUUUUAUUUUUUCUCUAUUCAGGUUUUACACCGCAUGCGUUGUCCUUGGCCUGGAGGCAUUACAUCAGCUUGGCAUUGUCCAUAGGUAAGCAUUAAUAACACUAAAAUCAUCUUUAUUUCCAGAUGAAACUGGUAACACUACUAAGAACACUGCUAAUUUAGCUUAUAGCACUGUAAUAAUUUGCUUGAUGUUAUUAUAAGGAUUAUAUAUGUAUAACUACUAAACUAUUGACUUGGUUUUAAUUCAGAGAUCUAAAGCUGGAGAAUUUGCUGUUGGACCGGGAUGGCUACCUUAAGAUCGUAGACUUCGGCCUCAGCAAAGACAGAUUUGGAUACAGCGACCGCACGAACACCGUGUGCGGCACAAGAACAUACAUGGCCCCUGAGAUCUAUCUGAAACUUGGAUACGGCAUGGCCGCUGACUGGUGGGCCCUAGGAAUAACCGUUUACAUCAUGCUCCUGUAUGAGGUAAGCACAAUUCCUAUAUUAUCAUUUAUAUAAGAAAUACCCCAUGGCGCUGUACUAAGAGAUGGUAUCUGUACGACCAGCUGCA